rnacentral:rRNA from 1 species
AUAUCAAUAGGCGGAGGAGAAGAAAUUAACUAAGAUUGCCCUAGUAACGGCGAGUGGAGCGGCAAAAGCCCAAAAUGUAAAUCUAGUACCUUCGGUACUCGAAUUGUAAUCUAAAGUUUUCAUUGUCAAUUGGUGGUGAUGCAGAAGUGCCCACGAACGGGCCGCCAGAGAGGGUGACAGCCCCGUAUGUGGUAUCAUCGCCUAACGAGAAUGAUUUCUAAGAGUCGGGUUGUUUUGUAUUGCAGCCCUAAGUGGGAGAUAAACUUCUUCUAAGGCUAAGUAUAUAUGGGAGACCGAUAGCGCACAAGUA